rnacentral:rRNA from 1 species
GGCGAACGCUGGCAGCGUGCUUAACACAUGCAAGUCGAACGGAAAGGCCCUGCUUUUGUGGGGUGCUCGAGUGGCGAACGGGUGAGUAACACGUGAGUAACCUGCCCUUGACUUUGGGAUAACUUCAGGAAACUGGGGCUAAUACCGGAUAGGAGCUCCUGCUGCAUGGUGGGGGUUGGAAAGUUUCGGCGGUUGGGGAUGGACUCGCGGCUUAUCAGCUUGUUGGUGGGGUAGUGGCUUACCAAGGCUUUGACGGGUAGCCGGCCUGAGAGGGUGACCGGCCACAUUGGGACUGAGAUACGGCCCAGACUCCUACGGGAGGCAGCAGUGGGGAAUAUUGCACAAUGGGCGGAAGCCUGAUGCAGCAACGCCGCGUGCGGGAUGACGGCCUUCGGGUUGUAAACCGCUUUCGCCUGUGACGAAGCGUGAGUGACGGUAAUGGGUAAAGAAGCACCGGCUAACUACGUG